AUUGAACGCUGGCGGCAGGCCUAACACAUGCAAGUCGAACGAGAGGCGGACGGGUGAGUAAUGUCUGGGAAACAGCCCGAUGGAGGGGGAUAACUCCUGGAAACGGUAGAUCAUACCCCAUACCCCCUGAUGUGCCCACAUGGGAUUAGCUAGUAGGUGGGGUAACGGCUCACCUAGGCGACGAUCCCUAGCUGGUCUGAGAGGAUGACCAGCCACACUGGAACUGAGACACGGUCCAGACGCCUACGGGAGGCAGCAGUGGGGAAUAUUGCACAAUGGGCGCAAGCCUGAUGCAGCCAUGCCGCGUGUAUGAAGAAGGCCUUCGGGUUGUAAAGUACUUUCAGCGAGGAGGCGUUACUCGCAGAAGAAGCACCGGCUAACUCCGUGCCAGCAGCCGCGGUAAUUC
rnacentral:rRNA from 1 species